rnacentral:rRNA from 1 species
CCUACGGGUGGCAGCAGUCGAGAAUCAUUCACAAUGGGGGAAACCCUGAUGGUGCGACGCCGCGUUGGGGAAUGAAGGUCUUCGGAUUGUAAACCCCUGUCAUGUGGGAGCAAAUUAAAAAGAUAGUACCACAAUAGGCAGAGACUGCUAACUCUGUGCCAGCAGCCGCGGUAAUACAGAGGGCUCAAGCGUGGUUCGGAAUCACUGGGCGUAAGGCGUGCGUAGGCUGUGUGGUAAGUCGUGUGUGAAAGGCGCGGGCUCAACCCGCGGACGGCACAUGAUACUGCGAGACUAGAGUAAUGGAGGGGGAACCGGAAUUCUCGGUGUAGCAGUGAAAUGCGUAGAUAUCGAGAGGAACACUCGUGGCGAAGGCGGGUUCCUGGACAUUAACUGACGCUGAGGCACGAAGGCCAGGGGAGCGAAAGGGAUUAGAUACCCCAGUAGUC